AUGUUUAUCAAACAUAACUAGGUUCUUCUCAUUCCCUGGGCCUAAAAUACUGAUGUCCCGUGUCUCAUAAAUGCAAAAGAUGUGUCCUUUGGUGUUAAACCCUAGGUUUAGGGUCAUAUGGAGGCUGUCCUCGGUACCAGCUAAUUGCCUGCUAAUGCUUGUAAAGGACUGAUUGGUGCCACUUUUAAAUACAUUAAGUUUUUUUAGACUUAGCAUUGAGAUCUGAAUGUAGCUGAGCACUUUGGAGUCCUUGGGACACAACACCAGUAAUAUUUUGAUGCUUUGUCAUUUGGUGUUAGUGCCUUGAUUCACUGGCUGUAGAAAUAAAAUACACAGAGAGAACGGCCCUCUCAGCACGGUGCAUGGUCCACAUUUGGAGUUUGGAUGGAGGCAAUCACAGUUUUUUAAGCCAGGAGACCACAGUUUGUCCUGUUUUGUUACCUUUGUGUUUUGCACCUUCGUUUUCAUUCACAGAUUUCUUUUCUUUCCACUUACUUGUUACUCACACUCCCUGAUAUAGAAAAGAUCUUAUUUACAGGUUCUGAGUUUACGUGUUUUCAAUGCAGUCAGAAUAAAUAAGCUUAGGAACAGCCGAGGUAAUGACUUUGUAUAAAUCUCUGCUCAUGAUGCAAUGAUGAAUGUACCCAUUUCACAGCUGAUGGUGUCCACAUAAGGAAAAUCUCUGCCAUCGGUGGGCUCAUGAUCUUGGGCUUCUCUGAAACUUUUGGAGGCUGCAGUCUGUGAUGCUAUUAAACUGCACAGUGCUAUACUGAGAGAUGUUUCUCUUAUUUAUGCAUUGAUGGGGGUACUCUUAAUAUUAAAAGCACCUCUGCGGUUAGCUGAGCUUUGCCUCGCUGCUCUCAAGUUGGCCAAACUCAUUUCCACAGUCCCUUAAAUCAGGGAGCUGUCUGAUUCGCUUCAUCAUUUUUUUUUUUCCUUUUUCUCAACAUCUAUGUUUGAUCUUUUAGAGUUAAUUUUCCUCACAAAUGUAGAUACUUUGCUCUAAAGUGUCUGAGAUUCUAUUUGUAUUUACCUGGAAUAGUUGUAAUUUUCUCUUUUCUAUUGGAAUAUAUAGAGCUGUGCAACAGCCUGGUGGCUGUACCCCACCUUUUGCUUCAGGCAGCUGGGAUAGGCUCCAAAGCCCCACAAACUGGACCAGCUGAAGAAAAUGGAUGGAUGGAUGAAAUACAUAGAACCACUCCAACAGCUGUAUCUACACAUAUUUAUGGGGGCAUUGGCGAUCUGAGAUUGGAAGGCAGUCUUGCAUAGAGAAAAAUACAUCUUCAGUGUCAAACCGAGCCAUCAGUUUUCAGUAGAAGUGCACAGUGUCCAAGUGUCAAUCAGGGGCUUGGGGCAGGAGCAUCGUCAUCACUUGACUGUCAGCAUGAGGGUGUACUGUAGCUAUGCAGUCUACAAUGUAGUUGAAAUUUGAAGAUAGAUAUGUGCUGACCCAUAAUGGAGUAAUGAGUCCCGAGUACUGGUGGGUUGGAAUGCCAGCAUGUUGACAUCUAGACUGAUCCAGUCACAAGUUUUCAUUACUUUAAAAGAUGUAUUCAACUUCAAUCUCAUAUCUGUCUAAAAGCCAUCUUUUUAUGUUUGUUAUGGAAUUAAAAGGAGGAAUAAAUGUAUCCCAGGAGACUUUUGGUGCUGAAGAUUCCUGAGAAGUGAAAAUAACUGCUGAAAAGUCUCAGUUAUACGUUUGUUGCAAUUUAAAGAUCAAAACAAACUUUUUGAACUACGUAUGAUCAUUUAAUAUGUUUAAUAUUUAAUAUGUUUUAAUUUUUUUUCAUUAUCUCUUUCUUUUCCUUUUGUUCAUCUGCUUCCCCUCUACUGCUCUCUUCUGCCUCAUUUCCACCUCAUUCACUCACUCCUCAGCUGAAGCCUCAUCUGCUGAGCUGAAGUCAGGACUCUAACAUGAGAAUGCAUGCAUAAACAUGGUUAUUUAUUCAUGAUAUAAAUAUGCUAUAUGUGCUGUGUUUCACUACUGUCUGUUGGCAAUUCUGUUACAUGCAUUGAGAGCCGGAGUACAAUUGUGUAAACGUACCUGGUCAAUAAAGCUGAUUCUAAUAUUGUCACAAUUCGUUUUUGUCACCUGAUUAGACAUGGGAACGUCCCGUCUCCAGAUGGCUGGUUAUAAGCUAAUGGUGUGCCAGCUAAUGUUAGGCUUGUGUGUCCUACAAAUCUCUACAAAUUACAUUCUCAUAUUAUAUCAGAGUUAAUUUACUAAAGAUCAGAGUGUGACAACAUCAGGCCAACUUCAAAGAAGCUUUCAAUAACAGCAGCUAACAACACCUAAAAGGGGCUAACAGCAGCUAACACUGGCAAAAACAGCAACCCUUGUGACAGAAAAAUUCAGGAUAUCCUGGACAAAUGUCAAAUGAACCGUUUCUUAUAUUUCACUUUUCUACUCUUCUGGUAGACUCAAAGCACUUUAUAUAAUAUGCCUCAUUCACCAAUUCGCACCCAUUCGUACAAGUACUUUUUUCUACAUCCAAGUGCUUUCUCACUAGCAUUGACACUCAGAUGAACACACUGGUGACCAACGUGGAGUUCAGGAUCUUGCCCAAGGACACUUUGGCAUGCAGGCUGGAGGAGCCAGGGAAC
ensembl:lncRNA